AAAAUUAUAGGUUAUUAGACCAUUGACCUUCAAAGUCGAAAGAGGAAACCUUCCUGAUUUUG
rnacentral:tRNA from 1 species